rnacentral:rRNA from 1 species
AGAUUGAACGCUGGCGGCAGGCCUAACACAUGCAAGUCGAGCGGUAGAGAGGUGCUUGCACCUCUUGAGAGCGGCGGACGGGUGAGUAAUGCCUAGGAAUCUGCCUAGUGGUGGGGGAUAACGUUCGGAAACGGACGCUAAUACCGCAUACGUCCUACGGGAGAAAGCGGGGGACCUUCGGGCCUCGCGCCAUUAGAUGAGCCUAGGUCGGAUUAGCUAGUUGGUGAGGUAAUGGCUCACCAAGGCGACGAUCCGUAACUGGUCUGAGAGGAUGAUCAGUCACACUGGAACUGAGACACGGUCCAGACUCCUACGGGAGGCAGCAGUGGGGAAUAUUGGACAAUGGGCGAAAGCCUGAUCCAGCCAUGCCGCGUGUGUGAAGAAGGUCUUCGGAUUGUAAAGCACUUUAAGUUGGAGGAAGGUUGUAACUUAAUACGUUGCAACUUUGACGUUACCGACAGAAUAAGCACCGGCUAACUCGUGCCAGCAGCCGCGGUAA